rnacentral:rRNA from 1 species
AAAUUGAAGAGUUUGAUCAUGGCUCAGAUUGAACGCUGGCGGCAGGCCUAACACAUGCAAGUCGAGCGGUAGCACAGAGAGCUUGCUCUCGGGUGACGAGCGGCGGACGGGUGAGUAAUGUCUGGGAAACUGCCUGAUGGAGGGGGAUAACUACUGGAAACGGUAGCUAAUACCGCAUAACGUCGCAAGACCAAAGUGGGGGACCUUCGGGCCUCAUGCCAUCAGAUGUGCCCAGAUGGGAUUAGCUAGUAGGUGGGGUAACGGCUCACCUAGGCGACGAUCCCUAGCUGGUCUGAGAGGAUGACCAGCCACACUGGAACUGAGACACGGUCCAGACUCCUACGGGAGGCAGCAGUGGGGAAUAUUGCACAAUGGGCGCAAGCCUGAUGCAGCCAUGCCGCGUGUGUGAAGAAGGCCUUCGGGUUGUAAAGCACUUUCAGCGGGGAGGAAGGCGUUAAGGUUAAUAACCUUGGCGAUUGACGUUACCCGCAGAAGAAGCACCGGCUAACUCCGUGCCAGCAGCCGCGGUAAUACGGAGGGUGCAAGCGUUAAUCGGAAUUACUGGGCGUAAAGCGCACGCAGGCGGUCUGUCAAGUCGGAUGUGAAAUCCCCGGGCUCAACCUGGGAACUGCAUUCGAAACUGGCAGGCUAGAGUCUUGUAGAGGGGGGUAGAAUUCCAGGUGUAGCGGUGAAAUGCGUAGAGAUCUGGAGGAAUACCGGUGGCGAAGGCGGCCCCCUGGACAAAGACUGACGCUCAGGUGCGAAAGCGUGGGGAGCAAACAGGAUUAGAUACCCUGGUAGUCCACGCCGUAAACGAUGUCGAUUUGGAGGUUGUGCCCUUGAGGCGUGGCUUCCGGAGCUAACGCGUUAAAUCGACCGCCUGGGGAGUACGGCCGCAAGGUUAAAACUCAAAUGAAUUGACGGGGGCCCGCACAAGCGGUGGAGCAUGUGGUUUAAUUCGAUGCAACGCGAAGAACCUUACCUGGUCUUGACAUCCACAGAACUUUCCAGAGAUGGAUUGGUGCCUUCGGGAACUGUGAGACAGGUGCUGCAUGGCUGUCGUCAGCUCGUGUUGUGAAAUGUUGGGUUAAGUCCCGCAACGAGCGCAACCCUUAUCCUUUGUUGCCAGCGGUUAGGCCGGGAACUCAAAGGAGACUGCCAGUGAUAAACUGGAGGAAGGUGGGGAUGACGUCAAGUCAUCAUGGCCCUUACGACCAGGGCUACACACGUGCUACAAUGGCAUAUACAAAGAGAAGCGACCUCGCGAGAGCAAGCGGACCUCAUAAAGUAUGUCGUAGUCCGGAUUGGAGUCUGCAACUCGACUCCAUGAAGUCGGAAUCGCUAGUAAUCGUAGAUCAGAAUGCUACGGUGAAUACGUUCCCGGGCCUUGUACACACCGCCCGUCACACCAUGGGAGUGGGUUGCAAAAGAAGUAGGUAGCUUAACCUUCGGGAGGGCGCUUACCACUUUGUGAUUCAUGACUGGGGUGAAGUCGUAACAAGGUAACCGUAGGGGAACCUGCGGUUGGAUCACCUCCUU